GCAGGUGUGGCGGAACUGGCAGACGCACAGGACUUAAAAUCCUGCGGGACCUAAAUCCCGUAUCGGUUCGACUCCGAUCACCUGCACCA
rnacentral:tRNA from 1 species